rnacentral:lncRNA from 1 species
CAUUCUGCGUGGGGUCACCUAAAAAAGUCCGCACAGAGGGGAAGUGAAUGGAACAAAGCCACACAGCAAGUGGAGGAGUGGAGCCCAGGACUGGCACCAGCUCCUCACAUUCGCGUUCAGGCACCACCCCAGUGCACUGACCAGCAUCUGGGUUCAAAGUCAAAGGAUGCUGCUUACUCUUCUAGGAAAAAUAGCCAGCAGUCCCACCUCCGGGCCUUUGCACAUGCCAGUCACUCUCUUGAAAACGUCUUUCCUUCUCCAGAGCACAUCUCAAAUGUCAACUCUCCCAUGAAGCUCUUCCAACUUCUCCUCCAACCAAACCGACGCUGCCCAUCCCAUGCAGCCCCAGGUGGGGGCCUGAGUCACACCCCCGUCCCGUGUCCCACCCUGGGCCACAGCUCCCCAGCUUUGCGUGGAGCACAGAUCCUGGUGCCUACUAGGUGCUCAAUAAGAGCCAGACGCACAAAAUGGAAUGGCAGCCUUCAGAAUCCUGGCAUGUCUGCCUUCUCAUUCUCUCAAGCUUUUUUCUUAAAAAGAAAAACAAAAUCAAUGCUAGGUCUGCCUACGAAUGAGAAUUUAAAAUCACAUUAGUUGCAAGAGCCUGAUCUUUUCUGUCCCAGAGUCUGGUUGGCUGACCAGCUUCCUUUAUCAAUCAAUUUGGGUGUUUUGCCCACACUUGGCUGCAGAAUGUGCAGAUCAGUCUGGCCACAGGGGGCUGAACUUCCUGCCACCCCAGCCCUCUGCAUGGGGUGAGCCAGAGACUAUGAAAAUAUUCCUCUGCCCUCCAGGAACUGCCAGGCUAAUGGAGAGGCUGGACACAUACAAGUUCACAUCUACAAAUGCUCUGGAGGUGGAGGGGCAGGCGGCCAGAGCCCCUGCGGAAGGAGAGCCGCCGGGAGCCCGCUCCCUCUUCUCAUCACUGAUUUCUUCUCGUCACUCCCUAGUUAGAAUAGUCCUCUUGAGUUUCCAUCGUGGUGCAGUGGUUAACGUAUCCCCCUAGGAACCAUGAGGUUGCUCAGUGGGUUAAGGAUCUGGCGUUGCUGUGAGCUGUGGUGUGGGUCACAGGCACGGCUUGGAUCUGGCAUUGCUGUGGCUGUGGCAUAGGCUGGCAGCUACAGCUCCGAUUGGACCCCUAGCCUGGGAACCUCCAUAUGCCACGGGAGCGGCCCUAGAAAAGGCAAAAAGACAAAAACAAAAAAACAAAAAACAAAAACAAAAACAAAAGAAUAGUCCUCUUUCCUGCAGGGCCUUGCUGGGCAGGGAGACCCAGGGAGGGAGGUGGGGGGACAGCAAAGGCAGCCAGCAAACCAGGCCGAACUGGCCCCUGGAGGAGAGGAGGGGCUCUCCAGGCAGCAAGCCACAGGUAGCAGCCUUUGGCCACCCAGCAAAGCCAUCCAUCCCAGGCAAGACCAUUGUCCCAGGGCUCAGCCAGGGUGACCUCUUCUCUGGGAAGCCUGCUCUGACCCCCCCACCUGCAUUAGAGGCCCCUCCUUGGCUCUCCCACAAUGCCCCGUGUCCCUCUGUCAUGGUGCUGUUUGCACAUGUCUGGGACUGUUUAUUGCAUACCUUCCCCCAGGAAACAGGGCACUCCUGGAAGGAGGGGACUUGUCAGAUCCUGAGCAACCAGCAAAGGACCCAGCCGAGUCAGCAUCGUGACUGAAGGAAUGAAUGGAUGGCAUAGACGCUGGGCACAGGAUUUGCAGGGCAUGGGGGUUUCUCCUGGGAACAGCUGUGCAUUCUCGCUCUUGGCACUUGGCCCAUGACAAUCACAAGGCCUGUCUGUUCUUCUCGCUCCUAUUUCAUCUUUCAAACUCCGAUGCAAUUCUACACCUCCACCCACUCCCACACACAGGCACCCCCCCCCAAACCACAGCUGCACGUACAGUGACACACCCACAGACUCACCCACAGACUCUACACCGAGAACACUUACACACAGUAAUACAAUAAUACCCAUACACCACACACAAUAAUACGCACACACACAGAGCACAUAACACAUCCUUACAUACUUACUUGCACAUACAACCCCACAAAUAAUACCCAUACACGCAGACGCAGACCUACUCACAGACACGCAGACAGACACACCCACCCACUUAAGGACACACAUUCUGAAUAACAUGCUCGUCUUUCUUCUCUUCCAUCUAAGGAUUUGAUUCUUUUCCUUUCUUUUCUUUUUUUUUUUUUUGGUCUUUUUAGGGCUGCACCCACAGCAUAUGGAGGUUCCCAGGCUAGGGGUCAAAUCGGAGCUGUAACUGCUGGCCUACACCACAGCCACAGCAACGCCAGAUCCGAGCCACAUCUGCGACCUACACCACAGCUUACAUCAAUGCUGGAUCCUUAACCCACUGAGGGAGGCCAGGGAUGGAACCUGCGUCCUCAUGGAUGCUAGUCGGGUUCGUUAACCGCUGAGCCAUGGCAGGAACUCCAGGAUUGGUUUCUUUGUCUCGCCUUUCCCAUAGACCUUGCUUAACAAUGAACAAAGUGCUAUCCUUUGUCUAGUCACCUGCCAGGGCCUGCUGAGGACCUGCUCUGUGCCAGGUACUACCUUUAAAGAGGAUAGGUCUCAGACCUGCCCCCAGGUGGCUCCCAGCCUAGUGGAGGAAACAGACACAGAAAGCAACAAACACAAGCUGGUGUGACCAUUCCAUUCAGGAACUAGUGCUUGAGGAUUUAACGUGUGCUAGAAUUGUUCUGAGCUUUGGGAACACAGAGGGAAGGAAGAUCUAGUCCCCUGGCCUCAAGAAGUCCCAGACUAGUGGGGGGAUGAGACGGGCAAACGUGUAAGUAUAGUAUCUCACUGUAAUAUACAUGGAACAGUGGAAACCCAGAAAGGAGUGAUUAACUCUGUCCAAAGAGAAUCAGGGAGGGCUUUACAGAGAAGGUGGCAUUGGGCUUUGUAGGAUGAAGAGGAGUUCACUGUGAUGCCUCAAUCCUAGAGCAGGUUGGCAUUUAAUACAGAAAAAGGCAGUGACCUCAGAGGAGUUGAUCAACAGUGCUGUGUGGGUCUGGACUGUAAUGAGGAUGUGUGUUUGGGGUUGGAGUAAGAGGGACUGGGGAGGAUGAAAAGAUAAACUGAGGCCGAUCGCAACAUCUCCAUUUUAUGGUCGAGGAAACCAAGGGUCGAGGAGGUAAAAUUGUCUUUGACCUCUGCUGGCCUCUUUCCUGCUCUUAGAGCCUGCUGCAAACCCCACCGCCCAUCGCUCCAAUGAGACGAGCUGCUUGCUAGUAGCUGAACUUGUUAAAAGCUCAGAGCAGGUGGGAGGCAUUAUUAUUGGCUGCAAUGAUUAUUCUCUAAAGUCCAGCCUGGCAGGGUUUCUGUCUCGAAUAAUCAGCAGCUCAGCAGGCCCCAAGCCGGGGUGAUUUGGACCUUUGAGGCUGAGCUGCCCUCAGCCCUGGCCUGGGCCCCCUGCCUGGCAGCUGGUUGGCAGCUGGGGGCCCUGGUCAACUGUAUCCAGGAGCUGGAACCCCUCCCGUGGGGAUCUUCACCCCCCCCAAGUCCCCCGUGUCGCUUCCUACCGUGAUGCGUCCACCCCAGCUGCCCCCUCAUUAAGCUGACCUCCCUCUCCCACCACCAAUUAUUUCUCAUCGGUGAGUAGCAGUUCUCUCUUCCCCUGAGGUUUCUUCUUCCCUCAGUCCAGGGUGGUGGGAGGGGCUGAGUCACUUUCCAGAAAUGAAUGUUGCCUGAGGAUGCGGCUCCCCCUCCACCCCCCCUGCCACCCCCAGAGCUGUGUGAUCUCAGGUAAGCCACUUCACCUCUCUGAGACUCAGGGUCCCCCGCCGAUUGACAGAGGGUGUUCAUUCGGCUGGAUUAUGAGUACAAGGAGCUUGCACUUGGAUAAGUCUCUCGCCCACCACGGCCUUAGUUUCCCCGCUUGUGAAAUGUGGGGAGGGACGGAGUUCCCACUGUGGCUCAGUGGAUUCCGAACCUGAUUAGUAUCCAUGAGGAUGCAGGUUCGAUCCCUGGCUUCACUCAGUGGGUUAAGGAUCCAGUGUUGCUGUGGGCUGUGGUG